rnacentral:lncRNA from 1 species
UUGUGUGAAGGCAUCUGCUGGUAUAGCCCCAAUCCCUGAAACACACAUCUGGGNUUAGCUGUCCAGCCUCUGCAUUAUGAGAAGGCACAGCAGGCAUCGAGUGUACCAAUCUGCCUAUCGUUCACGAAAGUGGGCAUCCUUUUAUGAUGACUAAGUAGGCACCGUCAAAUUCACAGUGAAAGACUG